rnacentral:lncRNA from 10 species
CUCCACUCCACACAAAGCCACCUGGCCAAGGGGGCGAGUAGGCAUGCAAAUCCAGCUCGUUCCCUGCUAAUUGAAAUGCCUGGCACUGGCUGCAUCCACCUGGAGGAAGGGGCAUUUUUCUAAUCUGCACAAAGGUACGAUAAGGGCUGGUGGUCACUUUAUUGCAAUAUUGCUUCAAGGCCAGGUAACGAAGUGUGUCACAGAGGUCAAGAAGACCUAUGUUCAUAUUUAGCCCAAAGCUGUUCUAGAAGUCCAUUCCGGAAGUAGGGACUUU